rnacentral:rRNA from 1 species
AUUGAACGCUGGCGGCAGGCCUAACACAUGCAAGUCGAGCGGAGCGGCGGACGGGUGAGUAAUGUCUAGGAAUCUGCCUGGAAGCGGGGGAUAACGCCCGGAGACGGGAGCUAAUACCGCAUACUAUCAGAUGAGCCCAGGUCGGAUUAGCUAGUUGGUGGGGUAAAGGCCUACCAAGGCGACGAUCCGUAUCUGGUCUGAGAGGAUGAUCAGUCACACUGGGACUGAGACACGGUCCAGACUCCUACGGGAGGCAGCAGUGGGGAAUAUUGGACAAUGGGCGAAAGCCUGAUCCAGCCAUGCCGCGUGUGUGAAGAAGGUCUUCGGAUUGUAAAGCACUUUAAGUUGGGAGGCGUUACCAGCAGAAUAAGCACCGGCUAACUACGUGCCAGCAGCCGCGGUAAUUC